rnacentral:lncRNA from 1 species
UACAAAUGCUUGUUGUGUUUGUUUUGUGUUUUUAAUUUUAUGUUCCACUGCUUGUCUACUUUUUCAUUGUUUUUAAUCCAAACUUCUACUUCAGCCUCUGCUCAUGAAGUCUCCCUCUCCCGAGUCCUUUGGGCUGCAAUAAUCAGACUCAAGCUGAGUGGAGACACACACUGAACAGAUGACAUGCCAGCCAAACUUGCCCCAAAAGUUGGGGAGGGAAAUGGUGCUCAACUGAAGGCAGCUGCUCUUGGGAGAGUCUUGACAGAGACCUCUGCAGCGAUAGUGCCUGGCAUCAGUGAUUGACGGGGAGCCAUCUGAUCAACUUUUGUUUCUGAAGGAAAACCCUGAGGAAACUCACUACCAUCCUCAGUGGCUGGUGGAUGGAUAAAGAGGUGGAAAGCAAGUUGUGUGUAGAGUGAGCAGAAACUAUGAAGAGCCAUGAGCAGUUCCGGGGGAGCAGCUGCGAGCAUCAUGGAAGGCCUCUGCCCUGUCGGAGAAGCCGGGAUCCUCUUCAGCUUGGACACUACAUCAGUGACACUGGCAUCUCCCCCAUGCCAGGUGUCCAGAUUAAUCAGGAGACCAUUGUAGAUGAGGCAUCGCUCUAGGACCUGGUACCUGCUUGUGCUUUGUCCAGAACUGAGCUCAGAACUUGCCCAGUUCUACCACAUGUCUGAAAACUUCUUCCUUCCUGUCCACAUCAUUCCGUAGUUGUCUCUGAGAUAUGUCUAUUUACAAGAAGAUACUCUGAAA